GAUGAACGCUGGCGGCGUGCCUAAUACAUGCAAGUCGAGCGAACGGACGAGAAGCUUGCUUCUCUGAUGUUAGCGGCGGACGGGUAAGUAACACGUGGAUAACCUACCUAUAAGACUGGGAUAACUUCGGGAAACCGGAGCUAAUACCGGAUAAUAUUUUGAACCGCAUGGUUCAAAAGUGAAAGACGGUCUUGCUGUCACUUAUAGAUGGAUCCGCGCUGCAUUAGCUAGUUGGUAAGGUAACGGCUUACCAAGGCAACGAUGCAUAGCCGACCUGAGAGGGUGAUCGGCCACACUGGAACUGAGACACGGUCCAGACUCCUACGGGAGGCAGCAGUAGGGAAUCUUCCGCAAUGGGCGAAAGCCUGACGGAGCAACGCCGCGUGAGUGAUGAAGGUCUUCGGAUCGUAAAACUCUGUUAUUAGGGAAGAACAUAUGUGUAAGUAACUGCGCACAUCUUGACGGUACCUAAUCAGAAAGCCACGGCUAACUACGUG
rnacentral:rRNA from 1 species